AUGGAUAUAUAUCAGACGGCAAGAUUACCUGAUUUGGGUUCAGGAGGUCGCAGGUUCGAGUCCUGCUAUCCAUA
rnacentral:tRNA from 1 species